rnacentral:sRNA from 1 species
AGCACAGCUUUUCACACAAUUGAAUAGAUCUCAACUUCAUGAUUGUGGUAUUGAAGAUGCUGACAGUAGCCAGUGGCUCUGUGAAGGCAAUUUUGCAACCUACCAUUCUUGGCUACUCCUGGGAUAUUUUACUUGGCUGUGAGAGCCCCCUGAGAAGCUUCUCUUUUUCUCACACAAUUCCUCCAUCAGCAAAGUGUGGUGGGCAGCACACAGUGACUGUGAUUCUUGGAGAUGGCACUGGGACUGAACUUAUGCUGCCUGUCAAGAUUAUGUUCAGACAUGUGUGUGUGCCUGUGGACUUUGAGGGAGUGUGAGUGACCUCCACCUCUGCCUCACAUGAAGAGGAAAUUCACAAUGCCAUCAUGGCAGUUCAUUGAAACCGUGUGGCUUUGAAGAGUAGCAUUAAAACUGACGACACCCGGCCACCAUCAUACAAAUCCUUCAACAACAUGUUUACACCACCAUAGAUCUCUGUGCCAACGUCAUUCAUUUAAAAAAUUUGCCAAACAUGGAGACCUGGCACAAGGACGUAGACAUCCUAGUUGUCUGGGAAAACACAGAGGGUGAGUACAGCAAUCUGGAGCAUGAGAGUGUGAAAGGAGUGACAGAGAUCCUAAAGAUCAUGACUAAGGCCAAGUCUUUGCGCAUUGCUGAAUAUGCCUUCCAGCUGGCCCAGAAGAUGGGAUGCAAACAAGUGACGGCUGUGCACAAGGUCAACAUCAUGAAACUGGGAGAUGUUCUCUUCCUCCAGUGCUGUGGGGGAGGUGGCAUCCUGCUAUCCUCAGCUCACCUUAGAAGACACGAUUGUGGAGAAUGCCACAAUGCACUUUCUGUGAAGAGGGCUGCAGAUACGGUGGAACGUGUGUGGCUCCUAACAAAUGUGUCUGUCCAUCUGGAUUCACAGGAAGCCACUGCGAGAAAGUGGUGAGAAUGCUGGCUCCAUGAAAGAGGUCUGCGAGAGCAGGGACCUUGUUUGCUCUCCAGGGCUUACUGCAACAGACUGGCACAUAAGUGUCUAAUAAAUAUUCCGACAGAA